rnacentral:rRNA from 1 species
AUGGACAUCAUCACCUGCGACAACCGGCACCGGGCAGCCGACAAGCUCCAGUCCGUCGCGCGACUUGACGACGCCUCCUGCUUCAUUCCUGUGGCCUGUUGUGACGGCCUCCUCGUCUUUCGCACCAAUAGUAAGAGGGGUGAGAGGCGCCUCUCCAUCUGCAACCCGGCCACUCGUCAAUAUGCUCCCCUCCACCAGCUUAAUGGCUUCAAGCUUUUGGGGAUGUACCCACACGGCCCUACCGGCGAGUACCGACUAUUGCUCUACCUGAAAUCUGAUGCUCAAAGUGGCUCCUAUGUCUUCACAUUGGGCUCUGCCCAGCCGCCGAGGCACAUAAGGGGCCCUGACGCCAAGGAAUUGAUGAAUUCCCGUGGAUCUGUCCUUCUCCGUGGUAGCUUGCAUUGGCACACAGACAACCUCAUAAUGGUAUUUGACACCACCACCGAGUCAUUCCGGCAGAUGCGCUCUCCGAUUAUUUCUGGCCAUGUCGGCAUGUUUGAGAUGGGUGACAUGCUUGGCAUGUUCAGUCUUAAUGACGAAGAGACCAUUGUUGAUAUCUGGGUGAUGCGGGACUAUCAAGGCCAAGUCUGGGCCUCCAAAGGCAGGGUUGAAUUUCCCAUUGAAGAGCUCAUGGCGCAAUCUGAAGAUCUUGGUAGUUGCUGGGAAGUGGAGACCACAUAUUGGGAUGGUGAUCUGCUGGUGCUGGCCAAAUUUGACGACGGCUCGCUACAUCAGAUUGACAUCGCUGGCAAGUUGGUUGACAGUUUCCGUCACAGAGUCCUCUGUCCUACCCAACUUCGGCUGAAACAAUCUCUAGUUCCACAUACCUUCUUUCUGGCACUAGAGGGUUAUGUUGUCAAUGCUUCGCCUUUCAUUUGA